rnacentral:rRNA from 1 species
GAUUUCCCUAGUAACGGCGAGUGAAGAGGAAAGAGCUCAAAGUUGGAACCUGUUUGGCCUAGCUAAACCGGAUUGUAGACUGUAGAAGUGUUUUCCAGGCAAGCCGAGUAAAUAAGUCCUUUGGAACAGGGCAUCAUAGAGGGUGAGAAUCCCGUCUUUGGCUUGAGCAUUUGCCUUUUGUGAUACGCUUUCAAAGAGUCAGGUUGUUUGGGAAUGCAGCCUAAAUUGGGUGGUAAAUCUCACCUAAAGCUAAAUAUUGGCGAGAAACCGAUAGCGAACAAGUACCGUGAGGGAAAGAUGAAAAGAACUUUGAAAAGAGAGUUAAACAGUAUGUGAAAUUGUUAAAAGGGAACCGUUUGGAGCCAGACUGGCUUGUCUGUAAUCAAUCUAGGCUUCGGCCUGGAUGCACUUGCAGGCUAUGCCUGCCAACGACAAUUUGACUUGAGGGAAAAAACUAGGGGAAAUGUGGCCCACUUGUGGGUGUUAUAGUCCCUUAGAAAAUACCUUGGGUUGGAUUGAGGAACGCAGCGAAUGCUUAUUGGCGAGUUUUCCAGGAAGGUUUUCUGAGGUACUACGGUAUCAAGGUUGAUCUUUUUGGUUAUACUUCUAUUCGCUUAGGUUGUUGGCUUAAUGACUCUAAAUGACCCGUCUUGAAACACGGACCAAGGAGUCCACCAUUAGUGCGAGUAUUUGGGUGCCAAACCCAUAUGCGUAAGGAAACUGAUUGAUACGAAUCCAUUAAGGAGGCAGUAUCGUCCGGCGCUGACGUUUUAUACUGAAUUGACCGAGACAAAGCACUAAUGAUGGGACCCGAAAGAUGGUGAACUAUGCCUGAAUAGGGUGAAGCCAGAGGAAACUCUGGUGGAGGCUCGUAGCGAUUCUGACGUGCAAAUCGAUCGUCAAAUUUGGGUAUAGGGGGCGAAAGACUAAUCGAACCAUCUAGUAGCUGGUCCCCGGCCGAAGUUUCCCUCAGGAUAGCAGAAACUUAUACGCAGUUUUAUGUGGUAAAGCGAAUGAUUGGGGUCUCGGGGGGCUAAACGCCCUUCAACCACUCUCAAACUUUAAAUAUGUAAGACGACCUGUUUGCUUAAUUGAAGCAGGUCAUUGAAUGCAGAGUUUCUAGUGGGCCAUUUUUGGUAAGCAGAACUGGCGAUGCGGGAUGAACCGAACGCAGAGUUAAGGUGCCGGAAUACACGCUCAUCAGACACCACAAAAGGUGUUAGUUCAUCUAGACAGCAGGACGGUGGCCAUGGAAGUCGGAAUCCGCUAAGGAGUGUGUAACAACUCACCUGCCGAAUGAACUAGCCCUGAAAAUGGAUGGCGCUUAAGCGUGUUACCCAUACUCUGCCGUUAUUGUAAAAGCGAAGCAAUAACGAGUAGGCAGGCGUGGAGGUUUUUAUAAACUGUUAAGAAGCUC